rfam:Colletotrichum chlorophyti strain NTL11 CCHL11_scaffold59, whole genome shotgun sequence.
GGCCCUAUGGCGCAACGGUAGCGCGUUCGACUCCAGAUCGAAAGGUAAGCUCUACUUGUAUGCCCACAUGUAGACGGCAGAAUUAGGAACUAACUGCUGCUCGCGUUCAAGGUUAUCCGUUCAAAUCGGGUUGGGGUCA